GAAUUAUAGAAUUGGAUUAUUGUUUUUAUAUAAACCUGUGGACCAGAUUCGUGGUCAUGUUAGGCCAAUGAGUGCCUUGGAUCCAGUGAUAGAGCAUGGCGGGGCCUGCUCGGGGUUAGUGCGGAACUGAUCAGCUGCCUAACCUUGGUUUUAAUUAAAAUGUGAUAGUCCAAUUCAAUAAUUCUUUGGAAAGAUUGAAUUUCUCAGUUUAAAUGAUGCAAGGUAUUGUAAAUCAUUCUAUACAAUACCAUGAACUCAUGAACUCAGGUUGAAUUCUCUUAUAUCUUGAACUCGUGAACUUCUGUUAUAUCAUUUCAGAACUAUCAUUGUUUAUUAUUACUUGCUGAGCAUUGUUGCUCACCCUUGCUAUUCCUUUCUAACCAUUUCAGAAAGGCUGAAAGAUAAGAUGAUUGAUUGAGAUUGUGGAUAAGGCUAAUGCUAGGCGAGGAGACAGAGUUGAGGAUCCAGUGGUCGAGGAGUAUUCAGGAAAGUUGAUAAGGUUGGUGCUAGCUAGAGUUAUGCUAUGAAGUUUCAGAUGUAAGUCAUGGCUGGAGUAAGUUGACAGUGAUUCUUCUUAUCGAAGAUGAUCUGAUUUGGUAAGGGAUGUUGUGUAGUAUUAGUGGUGGAUUCUAAUUUCAAUACUGUAACCUGGAAGCGAUCCUGUUGUUUUUGGGGGUUAAAAUGUUCUCUUUCGAAUCAGCUAUUAAAGUUUAAAUGUUCUCUGAAAAGUUCUUUUAUGAUGGUUUUCAAAUUUAAAAUUCAGGUUUUGAAAUCAUUUGAUUUAUGUUCUCAUACAAAUCUUUUAUUAAAUGUUUCAAGUUUUAAAUUCUUGUGGAUUUUCAUUAUCUUUAAUAAAAAUACAGGGUUUCACAAGUGUUUUAAAAAGGGUUUUGUGUGGUGACGUCAGAAUCCAGACCCCCGGAUUCCUGGACUGUCACAGUUGGUAUCAGAGCAACAGGUUAUAAGUAUUUGAAAUUAGAAUAUAGAUCAUAGUUAUAGGUUUUCUAGAGAAGAAUGUUGGGUGACCUCGGAUAGAGGUAUUGUGAGACUAUUUAGAAAUAGUCUAGGGAUGUGAUAGAGAAAUAGAAUCUAGUUAAAUGAUUAAGUUGAGUGCAUAAGUUUAAAGAGAUUUUGAUUCCUAAGUUAGACAUAUGAUUUUUAGUAUGUUGACUAAUUGAGAUGAUGAAUUGUGAGAAAGGUCAGUAUUAGACCUAUACAGAAGAGUUUGAUAAUGAAUGACUGAGUUGAAAAUGGUGAAAAUGCAGAGUUCAGAGUAUUCUGACUAUACUGCAUAUUUGAAAUUAGAUUAUUGUAUUGAUUUGAGGAUGAUAUAAAUGCAUGGUUCAUAGUAUGUUGACCAUGUCAGAUAUUUGAAAGAUGUAUAUUGUUUUGGAGUGAAGAUAUGAACAGUAAGUGUAGAGUAUGAGUUGUAUUGGAUUAGAAGGAGAGAUUGGUAGAUAGAGGUUGAUAGGUGAGAAGUGAAUGAUAGAGAGUACGUGGAAUUGAGUCCAGUUAUUAGAGAUGAUGUCUACAAGUAAGUUAGAACGUUAGUUCUCGACGACUACGCUUUAAGUUAAGCGGGACAAGGUGGGCCCAUAACCCACAGGUUGACGAGUCAGAAAAUAGAAGAUACGCUACGUGUCGUGCUAUGGAAUUCAAAGGCAACUGGAUGAAACAUGAGAACGUGAACUACUUGGGCCAGACUUAUUAUGAACUAUAACGUCUACGAUGACAUCUUACGAGGCUAUUACGAGUCAACAUCGAUCGAUUAUCGAGAACGUUGAAAAGAAGACAUAUAUCGAACAAUGAUUUAUUGAAGCAGAGUGAAAAUCUGAGAAGACCUUGGCAAUACCUCUCUUCAACUAAGAUUCUUUUGGAUUGUUUUUCUCAUCAGUGAGAUAUUAUCAUGAUAUCCUUUCGACCAAAGUUUCGAUAAAUGAGAUUUUCAAUUUCUCAAAUUCUAAGAUGACAUUAAUAUUGAUUAUUGGUGUGAGUUGGUAUUGAUUCAAGAUGUGUGAUAAAGGUUUGUUGUGAAGAGACAGUGAUGUUCCUUGAGAUAGUUUGACAUUUCUUGACAUCCUUGAUAUUCUUUCAUCUUCUUUGAUAUCCCUUGAUGUUCUUUAAUAGUUGCAAUUCUUUGACAUUCUUUGAUAUUCUCGAUAUUCUUUGACAUUCUUUGAUAUUCCUUAAUAUAUUCCUCGAUAAUCCUUAACAUUCCUUGAUGCUCCUUGAGAUUUCUUGGAUUCUUUCCAUCUGAUUGGGAUGAACAACCCUAUGUAUAGGGGACACAAGGUAUACCUGUCUGUGUGAUAGGAGUUGGAUGGGACGCCAUCACUUGUGUGUGUUGUGAUUACAAGAAGGUUAACAACCUUUAGUAGUGUCUAAUAUGGACACGCAACAUUAAGUUCAUUUGAUCGUAUUGAUCUCCCAGUCACUCUUGUAUUCCAAUGUGACCUAUUUUGAAAACAGCUUGUUCCUCCAAAAUUCUCAAAAAUUGAUUCUUGAGAAAUGAAUUCUGCAAUUGUGAAAGUGUUGAUAUUCCUAUUUCUUUAAAAUUGAAGGUAUGCCAAGGUUGAUUAAGGGCGGAUGAGCAUGUGAUGUUAUGAAACGUGUACAAUGAUUUUACAAAUGAUAUGUUUUAGUUUCUUCGGAGGAUUCCGAGGACGGAAUCCUUAUAAGGGGGGUAGAAUGUAAUAUCCCGUAUUAUUAAAUUUAGAUUUGAUUAUUAUAAAUCUAUUUGUCUAAAUAUAAUUGUUGGCUUUAAUGGAAUAGUGAUCUGAUUAUGUGAAUAGUGUGUAUGUGAUUAUACUUGUUAUGUGGAUUAAUAUGGAUUUUACAGAUUAUGCGUCCUCCUUCUUUCUCUGAUUCCGAGGACGGAAUCCCUAUAAGGAGGGUAGAUUGUAAUGACCCGGAUUUUUAAAAAUAUUUUUAUUAGUAUUAAAAGUGAUUUUCUUCAAAGAAGGGAAUAAGAUUUAAUAUUUUAUUCCAGUUUAAUGAGUUUUCAAGGUUUUAUAUUUAAACCCCGGGUUAUUGUGUUAUUGAUAAAUAAUUGUAUUUUCAAAACUGAUUUUCAUAUAUUGUUUUGAAAAUUCUGUAUGAAUAUUAUGUGAAUAUAUGUGUUAUGUGAUUAAGUGGUAUUGGUGAAUUUGUUUGUUAAUUAGUUAUGAUUAAUUAUUAAUAUUAUAUGAUUAAUAUAUGAAUUUUUGUGAAUUUUGUGUUAUCUAGUUUAUUGAGCUGAAUGCUCGUAUGUGUUCGUAUUCGCGAGAUUUCAAUUUCUAUAUGCUCAGGAGAAAAUAUAGUUUAUUUGGAUAUUUUCAUAUCGAUUUAUGGAAUGUUAGAUGAUUUUAUAAUCGAUUUACGGAUUUAAUUGCGUAUAUUUAUAUUUAUUUAUUAAUUAUUUGACUUCCGUAAAACCGUCCACUCGUAACGAGGUAGCAAAUUUUCUUCCCGGAAGUUUCAACAAAACUCACCUUUAGCCUAAUUUGAAUAUUCCGGACACUUUUCGUGUUUUGACUUUUUCGAUCCGGAGUACGGUUUUCCCCGGAGUCGGUCCGGCGGAGUUUUUCGGGUAUUUUAAUUGUUGAUAAUUAUCCAGUUUGUCUCGAUAUACGUGAAAGCCAGAUAUUUUGAUUAUUAUAUUACUUUUUAUCGAAAUACGUGCAAAUGGGACCCCCAGACCAAUGAUUGAUUUAUAAUGCCCCGUUUUGAUGAUUAUCUCGAAAACCGGUACCGAUUGGACCCCGCUUUACUAAUAUAAAGCUAUUAAAUAUCGUAUUUUCAUGUCAUAAACGAUCCAAAGGGGUACCAAUUAUUUGUAAAUAUAAAUAGCCCUUUCUACACCUUAUUUUCAACCGUAAAUCAUUUCACCAGUUUCUUUUCACGAAUACCGAGAGAAACCGAGCUGCGUUCUUCGUGUUCUUCGUAAUCAAACGAGGAUUUGAAGGUGUUAUUGGAAUCCGAUGGAGGUGUAUGAAUAGUCAAAACGAAGCUAUCGACGCGUAGAAUCUAUUACUAUCAGUGGUUUCAGUGCAGAAUCGACAGGUUUUUGCUAAUUAAGGUUUUUAAUUUCGAAUUUAUAUGAUUUAAAUGAUGAAUUUUUGAAAACGUGAUUGUUUAAUUGUUUUGAUGAUUCUAUGAUGUAGAGCAUGUUUUUCUCGUCGUUUUGGUAUAUUAUAUGUCAAAAACGGAGUUCAAUAACAUGUAGAAAAGUCAGUUUGAUUAUUGAAACUGUUGUUCUUGGUGUUCUUGAGAAAGCUCGCCGGAAAAUUCUUGUUUUGGUCGGGAUUUUGAUUCGUUAAACCUGGGCAGAAGCUAAGCAUACCAUUGAAUAGAUCUUUGAGAGUAUAAUUGAGUGGUGGUGUCAGUUUGUUCAAAGGAGGCGAAACGAGUUCGCCGGAAAAUGGAGAAGUCGGCGGUGGCGCCGACCUUCAACCGGGUUUUACGGCAAAUUGGUGAAGUGCUUGUGAAAUCUGAAAAUACGAGUGGAUUGCUGGACAUCUGUAGAGUAUAUCUGCAGCUGGUGGUCGAGUUCUGGGCUCGAUGGAGCCUCCGGCGACGUCUCCGACGUCGUUCGGCGACGGUAGGGGGUGAUGACUGUAUAAUUACAGUUUAACCCCCGAACAAAUGAAGGUGGUGACUUUUAGUCACCCGAGUUUCAAAUCUUUCAAAACAAACCCUGAUACUUCGAAAACUUGCACUUUCAACCCUGCGUUUAAACUUUUGAAUAGUAACAAUUAAAACCUUUUCAAUUAUUUUUCAAAAAUUAUUUUUUUGGUCAUUUUUUUAUAGUUUUUAAUUAUUUCUUUAUUCAAAAACAAAUCGAAAUUAGUUUAUUAAUUAAUUUCAAUUGGUAAUUAAUUAUAUUAAUUGAUCAAUUAAUUUAAAUAUUAAUUGAUUAAUUAAUUUAAUUAGUUAUUAAUUGAUUUUAAUUGAUUAAUUAAUUGGAUUUAAUUAUCCUUUUUGAUUUAAAAAUUCCGAAAAAUAGUUUCGAGCUUUAAAAUAUUUUUCCAAAUCAUGUUCAAGGCUCGACAAUUGUUUAUGAAUGAUUUCAAGUCCAGUUUUGAGCAUCCGGACUUGAUUAUUUAUUUGAAAAAUGAUUCUUUUAUCCGUUUUAAUUCCGAAAAUGUUUAAAAAUUCCAGAAAAUUCCCGAAAAAAAAUCAUUUUUAACCCAAGAGUGAUUUGAUAUCAAUUGGGGUGGGAAACCUUAUAUGUAAUGUGUUAUCUGCUUUGUGUGUGAUGUGUUAUAUGUUGAUAGUGGAGUCAGAAAACGGCUUAGAUCAUAACUUUUGAUCUGUAAGUCGGAAUCAAGUGAAACGAAAGAGAGAUAGAAGCUCGUGAAGUCUAUUUUAAUAUGACAAGAUAAUAUGAUUGAAUCUAGAAUGUGAUUAUAUGCUAUGUAAUAUGCAAUAUGUAACCAUACGUGAUUUGUUUGUUAUGAAUUGAUGAUUACGUGAUAUAUGUGGUUAUUCCUAAUAUAGUACAUAUGUGAUAAAUGACUUAUAUGACAUAGUGUCAUGAUUUGAUAAGAACAUAUGGAUUAUAGGAAUUGGAAUUGGUUGAUUGGUUGUUGGUUGGGAAUAGGUUGACAGGUGGAUAGUCUUAUAACUAGACAAGAUGCUGGCAGAUUUUCGAUAUGAUUUAUAUGAUUAUUGAUUAUAACAUGUUAUGUAGAAUAUGACUUGACUAUAUGAUAAAGUCAAAGAAUGAUUAUGUGCUAAGUGAUAUGUGAUAAGUUUAAAGGGGUAUAUAAGUGGGUAUCGAUAUACGUGAUAUGUAUAUGCGAUAUAUUGUUUAGUGACUAUAGUAUUAUCUUAUUCUCGUAAAGGAUUUGGACGAGACGUGUACGCUCGAAGACGUCAGAAAGUCGGAAUGGUAUUGCAAAGCGAAUAAGGGAUGAAUCGAGUAAGCGAAGCGAUGUGGCGAAUAGAGUAUAGCUAGAGAUGGUCUAGAGAUUACGAGAUGCAUAGAUUGUGAAAGUUGAAAGAUGAGAAUGAGCUGUGAAACUGGAGUCAGAUUUAAGGCAAGUAUCCUAUACCCUUCUUUUGGAUAUCUUGCGAUUAUUCUGAUCCAUUCUUUUCGUAUGUGUUGCAAAUAUUCGUUCUUCUCUUUUCCAUAUUUGAAACUGUAAAUAUUUUAUCCAUCCUUUUCUAAUCCUCAAAAAAUACAGAUAAUUCCAGUUUUACAAAUUAAUUCGAAGUUCAGAUUGUCAUUGAAGCAUGUGUUGCUCAAUGAUGGUUAGAACCUAGAAUGACUUGGGAUCUUCUUGAUUAUUCAACCCGCCAUUGUCAUGCUGGUUUAGCAGGCUAAAUUCAGUUGCUUAGCCGAUAAUGGAGGAUACUGAAUAGUUAAGGAUUUCCUGAACUAUGAUUUAUGAAAGGAUGGACUCUGGUUUUGGUUGGAUGUCUUAUGUGUCGAUAUAAUAGUGAGAAAACGGUUUUAAACAUAUCUUUUGAUCCGUAAGUCGGAAUCGAGUGAAACGGAAGAGAGAUGAAAGCUUAUAAAGUCUAGUUUGAUAUGACAUAAUAAUAUGAUGGAGUCGAGAAUGUGAAUAAUUGUUGAUUAAUGUGCACAAUGUGAUUAUAUGUUAUUUGAUUGCUAUUAAUUGAUGAGUACGUGAUAUAUAUGUCUAUUCCUGAUAUUAUAUAUGUGAUAAAUGACUUAUAUGACAUAGUGUCAUGAUUUGAUUAAUAUUGGAUAAGAACAUAUGGAUUAUGGUGAUUGGAUUUGGUUGGUUGAUUGUUGAUGGAGAUAGGAUAACAUGUGGAUAGUCUAAUAAAUAGACGAGAUGCUGUCAAAUUUUCGAUAGGACUUAUAUGAUAAGUGAUUUGUGAUAUGUUAUGUGGAAUAUGACUUGACUAUAUGGUAGAGUCAAAGCAUGAUUACGUGUUAAGUGAUAUGUGAUAAGUUUAAAGGGGUAUAUAAGUGGGUAUCGAUAUGCGUGAUAUGUAUAUACGAUCGAUUGAUUAGUGAUUAUAUUAUUAUCUUAUUCUCGUUAAGGAUUGGACGAGACGUGGAUGACCGAAGACGUUCAGAAGGACAAGUGGUGUUCCAAAGCGAAUAAAGAAUGAGUCGAGUAAGCGAAGUGCUGUGGCGAAUAGAGUAUAGCUAGAGAUGGUCUAGAGAUUAUAAGAUGCAUAUAUUGUGAAAGUGGAAAGUUGAGAAUGAGCUGUGAGACGGGAGUCAGAUUUAAGGCAAGUAUCCUAUACCCUUCUUUUGGAUAUCUUGCGAUUAUUCUGAUCCAUUAUUCUCGUAUGUGUUGCAAAUAUUCGUUCCUCUCUUUUUCAUAUUUGGCAAGUGCAAAUAUUUUUAUCCAUCCUUUUCUAAUCCUCAAAAAUUCAGAUAAUUCCAGUUUUACAAAUUAAUUCGAAGUUCAGAUUGUCAUUGAAGCAUGUGUUGCUCAGUGAUGAUUAGAACCUAGAAUGACUUGGGAUCUUCUUGAUUAUUCAACCCGCCAUUGUCAUGCUGGUUUAGCAGGCUAAAUUCAGUUGCUUAGCCGAUAAUGGAGGAUACUGAAUAGUUAAUCUUGUUUAUUCACCCCGCCAUUGUCAUGCUGGUUUAGCAGGCUAAAUUCAGUUGCUUAGCCGAUAAUGGAGGAUACUGAAUAGUUAAGGAUUUCCUGAACUAUGAUUUAUGGAAGGAUGGACUCUGGUUUAUGAAAAGUUGAUUAUCAAAGUUUGAUUUGGAAUUAUUCUAUCAUUGAUAUUGAUUGUGUUUAUGUUCUGUUGUUAUACGUUGACCUGUUAUUGAAUUAUAGAAUUGGAUUAUUGUUUUUAUAUAAACCUGUGGACCAGAUUCGUGGUCAUGUUAGGCCAAUGAGUGCCUUGGAUCCAGUGAUAGAGCAUGGCGGGGCCUGCUCGGGGUUAGUGCGGAACUGAUCAGCUGCCUAACCUUGGUUUUAAUUAAAAUGUAAUAGUCCAAUUCAAUAAUUCUUUGGAAAGAUUGAAUUUCUCAGUUUAAAUGAUGCAAGGUAUUGUAAAUCAUUCUAUACAAUACCAUGAACUCAUGAACUCAGGUUGAAUUCUCUUAUAUCUUGAACUCGUGAACUUCUGUUAUAUCAUUUCAGAACUAUCAUUGUUUAUUAUUACUUGCUGAGCAUUGUUGCUCACCCUUGCUAUUCCUUUCUAACCAUUUCAGAAAGGCUGAAAGAUAAGAUGAUUGAUUGAGAUUGUGGAUAAGGCUAAUGCUAGGCGAGGAGACAGAGUUGAGGAUCCAGUGGUCGAGGAGUAUUCAGGAAAGUUGAUAAGGUUGGUGCUAGCUAGAGUUAUGCUAUGAAGUUUCAGAUGUAAGUCAUGGCUGGAGUAAGUUGACAGUGAUUCUUCUUAUCGAAGAUGAUCUGAUUUGGUAAGGGAUGUUGUGUAGUAUUAGUGGUGGAUUCUAAUUUCAAUACUGUAACCUGGAAGCGAUCCUGUUGUUUUUGGGGGUUAAAAUGUUCUCUUUCGAAUCAGCUAUUAAAGUUUAAAUGUUCUCUGAAAAGUUCUUUUAUGAUGGUUUUCAAAUUUAAAAUUCAGGUUUUGAAAUCAUUUGAUUUAUGUUCUCAUACAAAUCUUUUAUUAAAUGUUUCAAGUUUUAAAUUCUUGUGGAUUUUCAUUAUCUUUAAUAAAAAUACAGGGUUUCACAAGUGUUUUAAAAAGGGUUUUGUGUGGUGACGUCAGAAUCCAGACCCCCGGAUUCCUGG
rnacentral:lncRNA from 1 species